CCAUGGUAAAGGGCAUGGUAUCGGGGGCAGUGUCGGGGUGAACACUUCAUGUGACAUGGUGUCCAGUGUGAAGGAGGAUGUCAGCAGACUUCAAAUCACUAACGUGACAUUGGAUCUCCAAGGACUGGACCUGUGCUGCUGGAAGUGUCUGCUGGGGUUAGACUGUCUCUUCCCGUUCUGCCAAAUGUUGGCGUAAGAUGGAAUAAACUUCUUCCCCAUUGCUGUUCUCCUGAUACACAAGUCUCAUUUAAUGUUUUUGUCGGUUAAAGUAGAGUCUGGUCUGUUGUGGUCGGGUUUCCUCUGAUAUUGUGAACUGCUGCACGUCCUGUAACGUUCCUGCAACCUUAUCCAGUCUAUCUGGAUUUGAUCUUCA